CAAUCUGCAUGAACAUCGUUAAACCUUUACUACUAUCCCUCAAUCUACAUCACUAAGUUCUGAAAGCAAUAUUACAUAUAUUUUUCGUCUAUUUGAUAACCAUCUGAUCGGCACAAGAACAUUGUAGCUUUUGGACAAAAACAAGAAAUACACACUUCUUCAAAUAUAAGUUCAACCAGAAUGUCACUUGAAAACCUGCAGGACCUUGAUUUACCCAAGUACAAACAAACAUUUGGACUUAGAAUCGAAGUCGUGUUAAAGUGUCCAUGUACCUUAACUUAGUUCCCCAUAUAGGGAGGACCUCGCAGUUUAUUCUCUCGUUGUAGUUGCCAUUCUCUUUCUUGUAGAUACUGUAGAAGUGGUGGCUUCUCUACUCCCAAGUCUGUCCCGGUAACACAUCCAUAGGAGAUCGGCCUUUGGUAGCCAUGAAACAUCUUGUCCCUUCUUUGUUCCUCUACUCCGUAGAGAGGCAAAUUUGUGUUCAAAUGCGGGUUAUCCAAAUAAACCAUGGGGCUGGAAGGCAAAGGAUUGCCCCACCUGUCGAAAAAAUCAAACCUGGAAGCAUCAUGACUGUAGAAGUGUCUAAAGUCUCCUGGUGCAUUUACUUGAACUUGCCAUAUGCGAUCAUUAGCUUGUUCAACAAUAUGACUGUUCCUGUACUGGUAGAGCCAUUCACAUGUACCUUAACUUAGUUCCCCAUGUAGGGAGGACCUCGCAGUUUAUUCUCUCGUUGUAGUUGCCAUUCUCUUUCUUGUAGAUACUGUAGAAGUGGUGGCUUCUCUGCUCCCAAGUCUGUCCCGGUAACACAUCCAUAGGAGAUCGGUCUUUGGUAGCCAUGAAACAGCUUGUCCCUUCUUUAUUCCUCUACUCCGUGGAAAGAAGUGUCUAUUGGCAUUAGAUUUGUCCAUUUACAUUAGACACAAUAGGGAUAAGAUGUGUCUAUUGCCAUUAGACAAAUUUAUUUGGAUUAAGAUGUGUCUAUUAUCAAAAUACACAUCUAUUGACAUCAUAUAUAUAUAUAUAUAUAUAUAGAUGUUGCAUUGAUCAUUUCAAAGUGUAGGUUCAUUUGAAAUACACAACGAUAUACAUUCUCUUUUCUUGCAAAAUUUCUGACUUUAUCUGAUUGAAUUAUUUGAUGAACCACAAAUAACUUCAAUCUGAAAGUGUUCACACCUUCAGAAAAAUCCAAGUUACCACCAUAAAUACAAUAAAAUAUUCCAGCCUAUUAGUCUUUAUAUGGUAAAUGUUUUGACACUCACAAACGGUUAAAUUUGAUCAUAAAAAUUAAAAUAUUUACAAAUUCAGGCAAGUCACAAUCUGCAUGAACAUCGUUAAACCUUUACUACUAUCCCUCAAUCUACAUCACUAAGUUCUGAAAGCAAUAUUACAUAUAUUUUUCGUCUAUUUGAUAACCAUCUGAUCAGCACAAGAACAUUGUAGCUUUUGGACAAAAACAAGAAAUACACACUUCUUCAAAUAUAAGUUCAACCAGAAUGUCACUUGAAAACCGGCAGGACCUUGAUUUACCCAAGUACAAACAAAC
rnacentral:lncRNA from 1 species